rnacentral:rRNA from 1 species
CGGAGGGAUCAUUACACAAUAAACAUAUGAAGGCUGCACCGCCAACAGGCGGCAAGGCUGGAGUAUUUUAUUACCCUUGUCUUUUGCGCACUUGUUGUUUCCUGGGCGGGUUCGCCCGCCUCCAGGACCACAUGAUAAACCUUUUUUAUGCAGUUGCAAUCAGCGUCAGUACAACAAAUGUAAAUCAUUUACAACUUUCAACAACGGAUCUCUUGGUUCUGGCAUCGAUGAAGAACGCAGCGAAAUGCGAUACGUAGUGUGAAUUGCAGAAUUCAGUGAAUCAUCGAAUCUUUGAACGCACAUUGCGCCCUUUGGUAUUCCAAAGGGCAUGCCUGUUCGAGCGUCAUUUGUACCCUCAAGCUUUGCUUGGUGUUGGGCGUUUUUUGUCUUUGGUUUUGUCCAAAGACUCGCCUUAAAACGAUUGGCAGCCGGCCUACUGGUUUCGCAGCGCAGCACAUUUUUGCGCUUGCAAUCAGCAAAAGAGGACGGCACUCCAUCAAGACUCUAUAUCACUUUUGACCUCGGAUCAGGUAGGGAUACCCGCUGAA